GACGAACGCUGGCGGCGUGCCUAAUACAUGCAAGUAGAACGCUGAAGGAGGAGCUUGCUUCUCCGGAUGAGUUGCGAACGGGUGAGUAACGCGUAGGUAACCUGCCUGGUAGCGGGGGAUAACUAUUGGAAACGAUAGCUAAUACCGCAUAACAGUAGAUGUUGCAUGACAUUUGCUUAAAAGGUGCAAUUGCAUCACUACCAGAUGGACCUGCGUUGUAUUAGCUAGUUGGUGAGGUAACGGCUCACCAAGGCGACGAUACAUAGCCGACCUGAGAGGGUGAUCGGCCACACUGGGACUGAGACACGGCCCAGACUCCUACGGGAGGCAGCAGUAGGGAAUCUUCGGCAAUGGACGGAAGGCUGACCGAGCAACGCCGCGUGAGUGAAGAAGGUUUUCGGAUCGUAAAGCUCUGUUGUAAGAGAAGAACGAGUGUGAGAGUGGAAAGUUCACACUGUGACGGUAUCUUACCAGAAAGGGACGGCUAACUACGUG
rnacentral:rRNA from 1 species